rnacentral:rRNA from 1 species
CGCGGCCUAUCAGCUUGUUGGUGAGGUAACGGCUCACCAAGGCGAUUACGGGUAGCUGGUCUGAGAGGACGAUCAGCCACACUGGAACUGAGAUACGGUCCAGACUCCUACGGGAGGCAGCAGGAGGGAAUCUUGCGCAAUGGGCGAAAGCCUGACGCAGCGACGCCGCGUGGGGGAUGAGUGCCUUAGGGUUGUAAACCCCUUUCACGAGGGAAGAAACUGACGGUACCUCGAGAAGAAGCCCCGGCCAACUACGUGCCAGCAGCCGCGGUAAUACGUAGGGGGCGAGCGUUGUCCGGAUUUAUUGGGCGUAAAGGGCUCGUAGGCGGCUUGGCAAGUCGGCCGUGAAAACCCAGGGCUCAACUCUGGGACGCCGGUCGAUACUGCCAUGGCUAGGGUCCGGUAGAGGGGAAUGGAAUUCCCGGUGUAGCGGUGAAAUGCGCAGAUAUCGGGAGGAACACCAGUAGCGAAGGCGGUUCCCUGGGCCGGCACCGACGCUGAGGAGCGAAAGCGUGGGGAGCAAACAGGAUUAGAUACCCUGGUAGUCCACGCCGUAAACGUUGGGUACUAGGCGUGGCGUCUUAUCAACGGAUGCCGUGCUCGAAGCUAACGCGUUAAGUACCCCGCCUGGGGAGUACGG